GUCCACGCCCUAAACGAUGAUGACUAGUUGUUGGAGGAGUUAAAUCCUUUAGUAACGCAGCUAACGCGAGAAGUCAUCCGCCUGGGGAGUACGGUCGCAAGAUUAAAACUCAAAGGAAUUGACGGGGGCCCGCACAAGCGGUGGAUGAUGUGGUUUAAUUCGACGCAACGCGAAAAACCUUACCUACCCUUGACAUGUACGGAACCUCAUAGAGAUGUGAGGGGUGCCCGAAAGGGAGCCGUAACACAGGUGCUGCAUGGCUGUCGU
rnacentral:rRNA from 1 species